CCUUGAUUUAUCACAUGUGUCAUGGCUCGAACAAUUUCUAUGGAAAGUCAAAUAUAUAACAUUACAUGUACUUUUCCAAGUUAUAUGGUCUUACCACCCACUUUCCUGCCCAAAGCUUAGAGGUUUAAUGCAAUUAUUUCUUGGAUUAAUAUAAUUAUUUUGACAAUGGUGAUAAUAUAAUAGCCUACCAUAAAAUAUGGUUAGUUUGGAGGCAGAUGGUACUUGGGGGUAAAUUGAUAUUCCAUUUCCAGUUUGUGGCAAUAACACAAAAUGAUAUUAAAAAGAGAGAGACCACUUUAAGUUCUUCCUUUUAUCAUUUCAGGGUUCCUGGCCUGAUAAAAGUACACAUUAUUCAUCCCUUUCAGAACCUGAGUACUUUUGCUCACUAAGGGAAGGGCUGAUGGAAUGCAGAAAGGACUAAAGGAGUCCAUAUCCAGAGAGGAAGCUGCAGCACAGAAUACAAGGAGGAAUGCAGAGAACUGAGAGCCACAGCUGGCGAUUCAUGUUGUCAUAACAAAGUUUAAUUUGAUGCUAUUAAAUUUCUUCUCCCCUCCUCCCCCUCCUUUUUUAAUGUCAGAGAAAAAUCAUCCACGUUGUUUAGCUAAUAGGAAAUUACUGUACUGAUGGCUGAGGUGGGUUUUUAAACAAGAUUCUACUAAAGGACACUAGGGGGCAGCAUUGUUAAGAAAAAAAAUUAAAAGUCUAAAUGCUUGCUUUACUUUUAGAUCACAGAAAUGCUCCUCUCCCUUUUCCUCCCUCAUUCCCUCUCUCUUUCUCUCCAUGCUUGCAGCAUGUGGAAAUUCCCAGAUCAGGGAUCAAACCCUCACCACAGCAGAGACUCGAGCCAAAGUAGUGGCAAUGCUAGAUCCACCAUCCACUGAGCCACCAGGGAACUCCCCAGAAAUGCAUUUUAAAAACAUCCUAGUCAGAACAUCAAUUCUGAAUGGGGGAAAGGUCAUUAGGAAAAUCAUUUAGUGCACUGCAUUCACCUACCUCUGGGAAAGGACAUGCAGACAAACUGAUUAAAUCUGGCAACUCAGGACAAUGUGUCUCCCCUUGCCCAGACUCUUUCACUUUUCCAGGAAGCCUUAGGGAAGCCUUAGCACUAAUGGUUCUCAACGCUGGAUGCACAUUAAAACAUUCAGGGAGCUUUGAAAACUACACUGUUUGGACUCCAUGGAAGUUCUGUUGCAUCUGACUCUCUGGGGAUGAGGCCAGGCAUCAAUAUUUUAAAAACUAAUCUGAGAUGAUUCCGGUGUGUAGCCAGGGUUUUGUCUACAUCAUGGGUACUGAAGUGUGGCCACCAUCACUAGCAGCAGCUUCUGGGAACUUUUUUUUUUUUUUUUUUUUUUUUUUAGGCCUGCACCUGUGGCAUGUGGAAGUUCCCAGGCUAGGGGUCAAAUAGGAGCUGUGGCUGCUAGCCUACAUGGGGUCUGAGAUGGGGAUCCAGUCUUCAUCUGUGACCUAUCCCGGAGCUUGUGGCAAUGCUGGAUCCUUAACCCACUGAGUGAGCCAAGAGAUCGAACCUGAGUCCUCAUGGAUAGGAGUCAGGUUUGUUACUACCAUUGAGCCACGAAGGGAACUCCUGGAAACUUGUUAGAAAUGCAAAUCCUAGGGCCUUACCUCAGAUCUACUGAAUUACAAGUUCUGGAUGUGGGUGGUGCCCAACAGUCUAUUUUAAGCAGUUCUCCAAGCAAUUCUGAUGCAGACUAAAGUUUGAGAAACACUGCUUUAUACCAUCCCCAAGUAAGCCGUGUCAGUGAGUAUCAAUUUCCUCCCAUACUUCCUCUUCUGUUCUUUUGUCUAAUCUAAAUGCUUUAUGUUAUACUUUAACCUUUAAUUAUUUGCUUUAGUGCAUAUGCAAACGGUCCCUGUGACAUGCAUGCAUGCAUAUGUACACAUACACACUUUAGUAGGAAUUAGAAUCACCUAAGAAAUUUGAAAAAAUGCAGAGGUCCAGCUCCUGGCCUACUGCAGUGAGCCUGGGCCUUUAUAUUAUUUACAUUAGCUCUCAAAUCGUAGUGUUUGAGAAACAUUAUCUAAACUAUGGGAAAAUUUGUUUAAAAUAUUCCUGUGCACUCCUUUCUAGGUUGAAUCAUCAUCAAUAUUUAACCUCCAGGCCACAGGCAGUUCUCUCUCUCGCUCCCUGGACCCUUGACCCAUAACUGGUCUCUAUAAAAGCUGUAAGUCAACUUGUUUCUCUAAGUAUCCCAACUCCCCAUCUGUAAAGUGAGGCUAUAUUGAUCUUUCAAAGUCUGACAUGAGAUAAUGUGUAUAGAACUGUUACAGGCUUCAAGUCCCCUUCAAGGAGAUUAAACCUGAAAACCUCUGGCCCUCUGGCCAUUCCCUUCCUCCACCUUGAACAGCCUGGUAGGGCAGAAAUAUUGCCCAUUUCUCAUCCCACCUCUAUAUAACCUGUUUCCCAUGCAAAUAAGGUAUCCUGCCCUGACACCAAUCAGAUCAAAUAUGCCCCACACAGAGAUAAAAUAACACUCAGCCCUAACACACUCUGCACAGCCAUAGGGGACUAGAGCAAGAGAAAUUGGGUCUACACUCAGGUCCACCUUGCGGGUCGGGGGUGGGGGGUGGGAGGUGGGGGUGGAGGGAUGGGUGGGUAUAAGAACAAUUGUAAAAUGAGUCGGGCGCUCUUUUAACAGGUGUGCAUGUGAGUUCUCUCUCUGUCUCUCUGUCUCCGAAAAUGUACUUUCACUUUAAUAAAUCUGUAAAACAUCUGC